GCCAAUAUGCUUUUCCAUGCUACUUUCCUAGAGAGAGGAAAAUUUAUUCCAAGUGGUGAAUACUAAGAAUCCAUGAAUUCAGUGUGGCCCAAAAAGGGUAUUCCUUGGUUGCCCUCUGAGAGAUAUGCAAUCUCCCAACGAGAAUAUAUCAUCGUUUCAGCAGGAAGGUCCAGCUGUAGAAUCAAAUGCUUCCGACAUUACACAUAUUUUACAAAAAAAAAGAUCAACAACAUAAAC
rnacentral:lncRNA from 1 species